AUUUUUUCCGAAAUUUCCUUAAAUUUGAAGUACCGAAAUUUGAAACCUUGCUAGAAUCACAAUCCAAAAUGCUUACCUGAGUGGGGUUCUGGAAAUAAUCUCCUACUGUUGUUGCAUUAACAAGACAACAACGCUUCAAUUUAUACUGUCCUACAAGAUUUAGCUGUUUGAAAACUUGAGGACUUGGAGAAUGCGAUGUUGGCUUGAAGGACAUGAUGUUUAUGUAACUGGAUGCUAGCAGCUUGUGGGUCUGAGCCUUUCUGUUGGAAUUGCAAGUCAUUAGAGAAUUCAACAUAGAAAGCUACCUUAACUUUUGGUGUUGGUGACAGUAGAUUUUAUUAUCUCGCCGGAGGCUGUCGAAAAUCUCAGGAAUAGCUUUUGUUGCCGGUGACAGUAGCUUUUGUGACCUUUCUGGAGGUCGCUGGAAAUCUCACCAGAGUAGCUUUUGUUGCUAGUAACAGUACCUUUUGUUGCUAGUAACAGUACCUUUUGUUGCUAGUAACAGUACCUUUUGUGACCUCGCCGGAGGUUGCCGGAAAUCUCAUCAAAGUAGCUUUUGUUGCUAGCCACAGUAGCUUUUGGUGUUAGUGAUAGUAGCUUUUGUGGUCGCCGGAGGUCGGCCGGAAGUUGGCCGAAGAUUCGCCGGAGUUGAUUGGAGACCUUGCCGGAGGAGAGAGAGAAUGAUUGUUGACUUUUUACUGUAGUGGCAUUUAUAUAAAUAUGUUGGUUUUUAUAUCCAAAAUAUAACACCUUUUUUAAUCUAGUGGCCUUAUGAGGGAAAAAACUAGUUGGUGGCCUUAUGGCUAAAAAAACAUUCAAAUAUGCACUUAUAUGUAAUUAACCCUAGUUUUUUUCAUAGUUAUA